GGCUUAGUUGGUUAAAGCGCCGGUCUAGCGAAUACGGAGUCGUGGGUUCGAAUCCCAC
rnacentral:tRNA from 1 species